GAAUGCUGACAUAAGUAACGAUAAAGCGGGUGAAAAGCCCGCUCGCCGGAAGACCAAGGGUUCCUGUCCAACGUUAAUCGGGGCAGGGUGAGUCGACCCCUAAGGCGAGGCCGAAAGGCGUAGUCGAUGGGAAACGGGUUAAUAUUCCCGUACUUGGUGUUACUGCGAAGGGGGGACGGAGAAGGCUAUGUUGGCCGGGCGACGGUUGUCCCGGUUUAAGCGUGUAGGUGUGUGUUCCAGGUAAAUCCGGUUCACUU
rnacentral:rRNA from 1 species